rnacentral:rRNA from 1 species
CGCACCUCUGGUGCACCAGUUGUCACGCCAGUGGCACAGCUGGGCAGCUAUGUGCGGAUCGGAUAAACGCUGAAAGCAUCUAAGCGUGAAGCCGGCCCAAAGAUAAGAUAUCCCACUGAAUGAUCAGGUAAGACCCCUUGAAGACUACAAGGUAGAUAGGCUCAAAGUGUAAGCACGGUGACGUGUUCAGCUGGAGAGUACUAAUCGGUCGAGGGCUUGACCACAA